rnacentral:lncRNA from 1 species
UGAAGCCCCAGAACGCACAGACCCAAUCUGGAAUUGCCAACUUUGUGCUCGUUCCAUACUUUCCAAUUUCCCUGGGCAGUUUUAUUUCUCUGCUUCUCUUGAUAUCUGAAGAUGCAAGGAAAAGUGACAGCAAAAGAAGGCCAAUACACAGAGACGGGAGUUUCUGGAGAACAGGAGAUGGACGGGGCCAUGGGAGACAGGAAGAGAUGUGAGAAAUAAAAAAAUGGGUUUGUUUUAUGCAAACAACAAGCUAUAUUUCCCAUCUGGAAGCGUUUCUUCUGUUGACUGAGACACAAAGAUUGACUCUGAGACUAUGGGCUUCAUUCCCUUUCCUCUAGAAUUAUUUUUCUCUGCAGGAAAAAUCCUAUAGGAAAGGUGAAAAUAGACUUCAAUGAAAAGCCAAUAAAAUCAUCCAAAAACACCUUUAGAAUUGAGGU